rnacentral:tRNA from 1 species
GUAGACGUAGUCUAAUAAAGACGUCAGAUUGUGAUUCUGAAGACAGGGACUAAUAACCCCUCGUUUAC